UCUCCGUAGGUGAACCUGCGGAGGGAUCAUUACCGAGCUCAUGCCCUUACGGGUAGAUCUCCCACCCUGUGUUAUUAUUACCUUUGUUGCUUUGGCGGGCCGCCAGGCUCCGGUCAGGCUAUCGGCUUCGGCUGGUAAGCGCCCGCCAGAGGACCCUAUAUCCUGAUUAUUAGUGUCGUCUGAGUACUAUACAAUAGUUAAAACUUUCAACAACGGAUCUCUUGGUUCUG
rnacentral:misc_RNA from 1 species